rnacentral:ncRNA from 1 species
CCUAUGAAAAUGAUGCUAAAUAUUCCGUAAAACACUGGAACAUCAGGGAGUUUGGCUGGGGUGGCACAUCUGUUAAAAUAUAACGCAGGUCUACUAAGCUAAGCUCAAUAAGAACAGAAAUCUCAUUAGGAACAAAAGGGUAAAAACUCAUUUGGUUUUGAUUUUUAGUAUGAAUACGAACCGUGAAAAUGUGGCCUAAUAAUCCUUUAGACCUUCGGAGUUUGAAGAUAGAGGUGUUAGAAAAGUUACCAAAGGGAUAACUAGCUUGUGGCAGCCAAGAGUUCAUAGCAACGUUACUUUUUUAUCCUUUGAUGUCAACUCUUACAUUAUUGUGAAGCAGAAUUCACCAAAUUUUGGAUUGUUCACCCACCAAUAGGGAACAUGAGCUGGGUUUAGAUCGUCAUGAGAUAGGUUAGUU